GAUGAACGCUGGCGGCGUGCCUAAUACAUGCAAGUCGAGCGAAGCGGGGGCGGGUGAGUAACACGUGGAUAACCUCCUAUAAGACUGGGAUAACUUCGGGAAACCGGAGCUAAACCGGAUUCUUAUAGAUGGAUCCGGGCUGCAUUAGCUAGUUGGUAAGGUAACGGCUUACCAAGGCAACCAUGCAUAGCCGACCUGAGAGGGGAAGCGGCCACACUGGACCUUCGACCUGAUCAAGGCUCCUGCGGGAGGCAGCAGUAUGGAAUCUUCCACGAUGGGCGAAAGCCUGACGGAGCAACGCCGCGUGAGUAAAGAAGGUCUUCGGAUAUGAAACCUCUGUUAUGUGGAAAGCGGUACCUAAUCAGAAAGCCACGGCUAACUACGUGCCAGCAGCCGCGGUAAUUC
rnacentral:rRNA from 1 species